CGCUCUUCCCUGAAAUCUGCCAAGUCUGGUUCGAUUUCGGCCACGACCAGGUGUUUGCGUACCUGCUAUUGUCAGCGAACACAGCGGGUACGGAGCUGGCGAGGACACUGAAGGACACGUGCACGGAUAAUAAAGCGUUCUGUGUGCAAUCAGAUGUAGCGAUUGUUUUGGGUUUCGCCGGGUUUUUGUUUUUGGGCAUCUCGUCCUUGUUUUCGGGUUUUCGGGUGGUUUGUUUUAUAAUCAACGGCUCUCGUUUUUAUGUUUAGAUUAAUAGUAGACUAGGUUAAUCCUGUAUGAGAUUACUUAAGAUUGGACAGACAGUGAGGGAAUAUUUUGGGUAAGCGUGUGAGCAAUUUCACGUUUUUACUGUGUGAGAUUGAUUUGCGUGUCUGUCUGCCUUUGAUGUUUAUGUUUGUGGCAGCGAUGAUGAUGAUGAUGAUGUUCUAUAGUACAUUUAGUACUGUGCACAUGGGUUUAUGUAUUAUUGGAUUCCUCGCUAAUCUUAUUUCUUGUUUGAAUAAGGUUCCUGUCAGGAGCCCGAGCUCAGCGCUUAGUGCACGACCACUCGGACGUGUCCUUUUUUUUCCCGUCUUGGCAUGUGAAUUCCGGGCAUUGUUUUUGUUUUUCUCUCUAUCUCAACAGUCAUCUUCAAAUUUUAGACAGCA